rnacentral:rRNA from 1 species
UACAGAGGUCUCAAGCGUUGUUCGGAUUCAUUGGGCGUAAAGGGUGCGUAGGUGGCGAGGUAAGUCGGAUGUGAAAUCCCGGGGCUCAACCCUGGAACUGCAUUCGAUACUGCCUGGCUAGAGUACUGGAGAGGAGAUUGGAAUUUACGGGUGUAGCAGUGAAAUGCGUAGAUAUCGUAAGGAAGACCAGUGGCGAAGGCGGAUCUCUGGACAGUUACUGACACUGAGGCACGAAGGCCAGGGGAGCAAACGGG